CCCUUAGAUGUUCUGGGCAGCACGCGCGCUACAAUGGUCUUCGCAAACGGAUGCAUUCUCGAAGGAGAAUGCCAAUCUUGGAAUCUAUGCCUUGGUCGGGACAGUUGCUUGCAAUUUUUCGACUCGAACCAGGAAUUCCUUGUAAUCGUGAUUCAUCACAUCACGAUGAAUACGUCCCUGCCCUUUGUACACACCGCCCGUCGCUACUACCGAUUGAAUGGCUUAGUGAGGUCUCCGGAUUGGCGUCGGGGAUCCGGCAACGGAACCCCUUCGCUGAGAAGCUGAUCAAACUUGGUCAUUUAGAGGAAGUAAAAGUCGUAACA
rnacentral:rRNA from 1 species